rnacentral:rRNA from 1 species
CCUACGGGAGGCAGCAGUAGGGAAUAUUGCUCAAUGGGGGAAACCCUGACGCAGCAACGCCGCGUGGAGGAUGAAGGUUUUCGGAUUGUAAACUUCUUUUGUCAGGGAAGAUAGUGACGGUAUCUAACGAAUAAGCAACGGCUAACUCCGUGCCAGCAGCCGCGGUAAUACGGAGGGUGCAAGCGUUACGCGGAAUCACUGGGCCUAAAGGGCGCGGAGGGGGGAUAGCAAGUCAGAUGUGAAAUCCUAUGGCUUAACCAUAGAACUGCAUUGGAAACUGUUAUUCUAGAGUAUGGGAGAGGUAGGUGGAAUUCUUGGUGUAGGGGUAAAAUCCGUAGAGAUCAAGAGGAAUACUCAUUGCGAAGGCGACCUGCUAGAACAUAACUGACGCUGAUGCGCGAAAGCGUGGGGAGCAAACAGGAUUAGAUACCCCUGUAGUC